UACAGAGGGUGCGACCGUUGUUCGGAAUCACUGGGCAUAAAGCGCACGUAGGCGGCACCGCAAGUGUGGAGUGAAAUCCCACGGCUUACCCGUGGAACUGCUUGGCAGACUGCGGUGCUAGAGGUUGGUAGGGGAGAGCGGAACUCUUGGUGGAGCGGUGAAAUGCGUAGAUAUCAAGAGGAACACCGGUGGCGAAGGCGGCUCUCUGGUCCAAUCCUGACGCUGAGGUGCGAAAGCUAGGGGAGCGAACGGG
rnacentral:rRNA from 1 species